AGUGGUGAACGGGUGAGUAACACGUGGGUAAUCUGCCCUGCACUCUGGGAUAAGCCUGGGAAACUGGGUCUAAUACUGGAUAUGACCUUUCUCCUUAUGGGGUUUGGUGGAAAGUUUUUCGGUGUAGGAUGAGCCCGCGGCCUAUCAGCUUGUUGGUGGGGUGAUGGCCUACCAAGGCGACGACGGGUAGCCGGCCUGAGAGGGUGAUCGGCCACAUUGGGACUGAGAUACGGCCCAGACUCCUACGGGAGGCAGCAGUGGGGAAUAUUGCACAAUGGGCGGAAGCCUGAUGCAGCGACGCCGCGUGAGGGAUGACGGCCUUCGGGUUGUAAACCUCUUUCAGCAGGGACGAAGCGUAAGUGACGGUACCUGCAGAAGAAGCACCGGCUAACUACGUGCCAGCAGCCGCGGUAAUACGUAGGGUGCGAGCGUUGUCCGGAAUUACUGGGCGUAAAGAGCUCGUAGGCGGUUUGUCACGUCGUCUGUGAAAUCCUAGGGCUUAACCCUGGACGUGCAGGCGAUACGGGCUGACUUGAGUACUACAGGGGAGACUGGAAUUUCUGGUGUAGCGGUGGAAUGCACAGAUAUCAGGAAGAACACCGAUGGCGAAGGCAGGUCUCUGGGUAGUAACUGACGCUGAGGAGCGAAAGCAUGGGUAGCGAACAGGAUUAGAUACCCUGGUAGUCCAUGCCGUANACGGUGGGCGCUAGGUGUGGGGUUCCUUCCACGGGCUCCGCGCCGUAGCUAACGCAUUAAGCGCCCCGCCU
rnacentral:rRNA from 1 species